AUAGUUUGUAUAGUCUAUUGUGACUAAGCCAUGACCGAAGGUUUGGGUCAUGGCUUAACUGAAAAGGGUGUUGGUAGUUUUUUUACAGGUACAUGUGUGAAUAUUUAUAUUCAUUCCUUUUGUUCAUGUUCUUUUUAAGCGUGGUUCACUUCUCUAUAUAUUGGAAGGUUUAAGAAAGGGGACAACUGAUGAGUUAACAUCUUAUGCUGGUCAGGGCUUGGUACCCUAUGUGUCUCGUUUUGUUCUGUUGCCUUGUGUUCUAGUUUUGGUCUUAUUGAAUUAAAUGGUAGGUUGUCAUUUUCUAAUGAAACCAACUGUCAAGCUCAAUGGGACAACAUGCUUUGGUCCUCAACUGUUCCUUUCCUUUUCAAAUUUAUCAGAAGCAGCUGAAGAUUGAUUGAUUCGGUUGUUCAAAUUAUCAACUGUAGGUCAAUCGUGUUCUUCAAGAUGUUCAAUUGACCGACCAGAAGCGUUUUAAGCAGUUUGUUUCUCAAAGCAAAGCAAGAAUGGAUAUUGAUCUCUGACAGAACUGAGACUAAUUUGCCUUCUUCAACUAAGCCAUGUUAAUUGUUGAUUUCCACAAUAGGUUAAGAGGCAAGUGGACAUAGCAUUGCACUGCAAGGAUGGAUGCAAAGCUCAGUGUUGCUUGUUGGAUCUCUGAACAAAUGUCAAGGAAGUGAAGAUGAAGAAGAUUCUUGUACGAGAUGUGGAGGCAGCUACUAGCUCAUACCAUACAUUUGAUGUGUUGCGAUCUUUUGUGGACUACGUUGUUGAGUUGCAGUUGCUAAGACCAACCUAAUC